rnacentral:rRNA from 1 species
GACGAACGCUGGCGGCGUGCUUAACACAUGCAAGUCGAACGGAAAGGCCCUGCUUUUGUGGGGUGCUCGAGUGGCGAACGGGUGAGUAACACGUGAGUAACCUGCCCUUGACUUUGGGAUAACUUCAGGAAACUGGGGCUAAUACCGGAUAGGAGCUCCUGCUGCAUGGUGGGGGUUGGAAAGUUUCGGCGGUUGGGGAUGGACUCGCGGCUUAUCAGCUUGUUGGUGGGGUAGUGGCUUACCAAGGCUUUGACGGGUAGCCGGCCUGAGAGGGUGACCGGCCACAGUGGGACUGAGAUACGGCCCAGACUCAUACGGGAGGCAGCAGUGGGGAAUAUUGCACAAUGGGCGGAAGCCUGAUGCAGCAACGCCGCGUGCGGGAUGACGGCCUUCGGGUGGUAAACCGCUUUCGCCUGUGACGAAGCGUGAGUGACGGUAAUGGGUAAAGAAGCACCGGCUAACUACGU